rnacentral:rRNA from 1 species
GACGAACGCUGGCGGCAUGCUUAACACAUGCAAGUCGAACGGAAAGGCCCUGCUUUUGUGGGGUGCUCGAGUGGCGAACGGGUGAGUAACACGUGAGUAACCUGCCCUUGACUUUGGGAUAACUUCAGGAAACUGGGGCUAAUACCGGAUAGGAGCUCCUGCUGCAUGGUGGGGGUUGGAAAGUUUCGGCGGUUGGGGAUGGACUCGCGGCUUAUCAGCUUGUUGGUGGGGUAGUGGCUUACCAAGGCUUUGACGGGUAGCCGGCCUGAGAGGGUGACCGGCCACAUUGGGACUGAGAUACGGCCCAGGCUCCUACGGGAGGCAGCAGUGGGGAAUAUUGCACAAUGGGCGGAAGCCUGAUGCAGCAACGCCGCGUGCGGGAUGACGGCCUUCGGGUUGUAAACCGCUUUCGCCUGUGACGAAGCGUGAGUGACGGUAAUGGGUAAAGAAGCACCGGCUAACUACGUG